rnacentral:rRNA from 1 species
AGCAGCCGCGGUAAUUCCAGCUCCAAUAGCGUAUAUUAAAGUUGUUGCAGUUAAAAAGCUCGUAGUUGAAUUUCGGGACUAAUAUGUCGGUCGUACUUUGUACGUACUAGUAUUAUUGGUUUCUCCCUUCUGACGAACCACGAUGUCAUUAAUUUGGUGUCGCGGGAAAUCAGGACUGUUACUUUGAAAAAAUUAGAGUGUUUAAAGCAAGCUCGCGCUUGAAUACAUUAGCAUGGAAUAAUGAAAUAGGACGUUUGAUUCUAUUUUGUUGGUUUCUAGGAUCGACGUAAUGAUUAAUAGGGAUAGUUGGGGGCAUUAGUAUUCAAUUGUCAGAGGUGAAAUUCUUGGAUUUAUUGAAGACUAACUACUGCGAAAGCAUUUGCCAAGGAUGUUUUCAUUAAUCAAGAACGAAAGUUAGGGGAUCGAAGACGAUCAGAUACCGUCGUAGUCUUAACCAUAAACUAUGCCGACUAGGGAUCGGAUGAUGUUAAUUUUUAAUGACUCAUUCGGCGCCUUACGG